rnacentral:lncRNA from 1 species
CAGGUGCAACACCCAAUCAUGGUGUAAAAGUGUGUGACAUGAAUGAAUGUGUGAAACCAGGAUCUUUUAAUACCUUAGCUAAGUUUUUAGAGACAGUAAAUAUACCUUAAAUGACGUUUGGAUUUGCUUUAGCAUCUGAUGCAGUAAGGUUAUACACUCGUCCCCGUUUUAGAGCUUCUGUCUAUUCCUUCAUAAGUGGGCAAUUGCGAAUAAGAUGUUGUUGGCUACCACAUUUGAAAUAGGAUCGAGUGACACGAUGGCAUGGCUGAUUACCAUGAUUCUUCCCAUAAGUACGGCAGGUCGACGUCUUACUGGGUGCUGAUGAUGGUCUAGGAGAUAUUUCUAUUGUCAUUUUAGGCUUUUU